UUUUGUAUAAUGGGUCAGCGACUUAUAUUCUGUAGCAAGGUUAACCGAAUAGGGGAGCCGAAGGGAAACCGAGUCUUAACUGGGCGUUAAGUUGCAGGGUAUAGACCCGAAACCCGGUGAUCUAGCCAUGGGCAGGUUGAAGGUUGGGUAACACUAACUGGAGGACCGAACCGACUAAUGUUGAAAAAUUAGCGGAUGACUUGUGGCUGGGGGUGAAAGGCCAAUCAAACCGGGAGAUAGCUGGUUCUCCCCGAAAGCUAUUUAGGUAGCGCCUCGUGAAUUCAUCUCCGGGGGUAGAGCACUGUUUCGGCAAGGGGGUCAUCCCGACUUACCAACCCGAUGCAAACUGCGAAUACCGGAGAAUGUUAUCACGGGAGACACACGGCGGGUGCUAACGUCCGUCGUGAAGAGGGAAACAACCCAGACCGCCAGCUAAGGUCCCAAAGUCAUGGUUAAGUGGGAAACGAUGUGGGAAGGCCCAGACAGCCAGGAUGUUGGCUUAGAAGCAGCCAUCAUUUAAAGAAAGCGUAAUAGCUCACUGGUCGAGUCGGCCUGCGCGGAAGAUGUAACGGGGCUAAACCAUGCACCGAAGCUGCGGCAGCGACGCUUAUGCGUUGUUGGGUAGGGGAGCGUUCUGUAAGCCUGCGAAGGUGUGCUGUGAGGCAUGCUGGAGGUAUCAGAAGUGCGAAUGCUGACAUAAGUAACGAUAAAGCGGGUGAAAAGCCCGCUCGCCGGAAGACCAAGGGUUCCUGUCCAACGUUAAUCGGGGCAGGGUGAGUCGACCCCUAAGGCGAGGCCGAAAGGCGUAGUCGAUGGGAAACAGGUUAAUAUUCCUGUACUUGGUGUUACUGCGAAGGGGGGACGGAGAAGGCUAUGUUGGCCGGGCGACGGUUGUCCCGGUUUAAGCGUGUAGGCUGGUUUUCCAGGCAAAUCCGGAAAAUCAAGGCUGAGGCGUGAUGACGAGGCACUACGGUGCUGAAGCAACAAAUGCCCUGCUUCCAGGAAAAGCCUCUAAGCAUCAGGUAACAUCAAAUCGUACCCCAAACCGACACAGGUGGUCAGGUAGAGAAUACCAAGGCGCUUGAGAGAACUCGGGUGAAGGAACUAGGCAAAAUGGUGCCGUAACUUCGGGAGAAGGCACGCUGAUAUGUAGGUGAAGCGACUUGCUCGUGGAGCUGAAAUCAGUCGAAGAUACCAGCUGGCUGCAACUGUUUAUUAAAAACACAGCACUGUGCAAACACGAAAGUGGACGUAUACGGUGUGACGCCUGCCCGGUGCCGGAAGGUUAAUUGAUGGGGUUAGCGGUAACGCGAAGCUCUUGAUCGAAGCCCCGGUAAACGGCGGCCGUAACUAUAACGGUCCUAAGGUAGCGAAAUUCCUUGUCGGGUAAGUUCCGACCUGCACGAAUGGCGUAAUGAUGGCCAGGCUGUCUCCACCCGAGACUCAGUGAAAUUGAACUCGCUGUGAAGAUGCAGUGUACCCGCGGCAAGACGGAAAGACCCCGUGAACCUUUACUAUAGCUUGACACUGAACAUUGAGCCUUGAUGUGUAGGAUAGGUGGGAGGCUUUGAAGUGUGG
rnacentral:rRNA from 1 species